GGCGGUUGCCGUUGGGGGUGACCCGUUGGGGUCUGGUGGAGGUGCCGGUCCUUUGGGCCGGUGACUCUGGACGCGAGCCUAGCAGGGGUUAACUGGAGGAAGUCUCCGCCGGGUGACUGGUGGCCCGCAGCUAGGAGACGUGGCGCUUUGAAUUUUUCAGUGUUCCUCCAAGCUCAUGUACCAGUUGCACGGCUUCAGUGGAGGGCAGUGUAGGGUCCUAGUGGACAGCCUAGCCUGGGUCUGGAGUUGGACAGAGCAAGUCUGAAUCCUGUCCUCAUCACUUUGUAGCUGUGUGUCGGGCAGUAAGGCAGGGCAACUGAAGGAGCGAAGACUGGUGAUGACAGCAAGGGAAGGAGGAACUGAUUUCAGAGAGAUGCUUGGAGAUAAAGGAACCAAUAACCAGACCUUGAAUAUGCAUAGCUCUUUACCCUUUUCAAAGUGUGUUCCCAUAAUUAACUUGUUCAAUCCUCUUGACAACUCUGUGAAGUACAUGGGGUACAUGCUAUGCCCAAUUAAAGAAAGAUGAAUUGUCACAGACACAUCAGGUCAUUUGCUCUCAGUCCAACAGUACCUGGUCAGCAGGGUCAUGAUCAAACCCACACCUCCUGAAUGCAGGUGUUUUUCCAGGACACCAUCUGUGUCUCUUACUUAGCUCCUCUACCUGGUAGCUGUUCUCUACCUGCUUCUUAACUAGUGAGGGGAAGUUCUAGAGAACCUCCUGGUGUAGAAUGCAAGAGCCGGGAGUGUCUUUUUGCCUCUCCUA
rnacentral:lncRNA from 1 species